rnacentral:rRNA from 1 species
UACAGGGGGCUCGAGCGUUAGUCGGAAUCACUGGGCUGAAAGGGUGCGUAGGCGGUCCGCCAAGUGCUUUGUGAAAUCCCCGAGCUCAACUCGGGAACUGCAGGGCAAACUGGAGGACUUGAAGCAGGUAGGGGCUGGAAGAACAGUAGGUGGAGCGGUGAAAUGCGUAGAUAUCUACUGGAAUGCCGAUGGGGAAGCCGUCCAGCUGGGCCUGUCUUGACGCUGAGGCACGAAAGCGUGGGGAGCAAACAGG